rnacentral:misc_RNA from 1 species
GGAAGUAAGAGUCGUAACAAGGUUUCCGUAGGUGAACCUGCGGAAGGAUCAUUCAUAAUAAGUGUUUUACUGCACUUUUUAAAAAUAGUACUCACCUUGUGUGCAAUGUUGUGUUUCUUUUCGGAGAAACACCUACACCAACCUAUAACCUUGAACCACUUUGUCUGAAAAACUAUUAUGAGUACUUAAUUCAAAAUACAACUUUCAACAACGGAUCUCUUGGCUCUC